rnacentral:sRNA from 1 species
AGGUCGGCUAGUCCUCCCACGGCCACCAUCCAGCUACAUGGCUCACCCCAUUCCUGAGUUCUCUAGGAGCCCUCCGAGGAUGCGGUCCCACCACUGUGGGCAUUCUCCCUCUGUCUGGAACUCCCAGCGUGCGGAAGACUCUGGGCAGCCACACAGCUUGUGAGCCCCUGCUGUGUUGAGGGGAGGGGCUGUUGACCGCCAGCAGGUGAACGCUGCAGAAACAUCAUCAACUGGAUGAAACCUACCGACCCCGGCAGGAGGUGGGAGCCAUAGGAGGUUCUGGAAUCCAGCUUGGGAAGGGGGAAGCAGGACCAAAGAGCCCGUCUCCAUGGCAAAAACAGGAAAAGGAACUCCCGUAGCAGGGGCAAGCAUCUAAUUGGGCAAUGUUUGUUUCUGGAGCAAGUAGAGGCCCUUCUUCCAGACUACAGAAGAAAAAACCCUGAAGGAAUAACAAACAUGCAACAGGCACAGUGCUGCGCUCAGAGAAAAGCCCGGCCCCCAGCCCACCCCAGCCUGCCUGACUCCAUCUCUGAGGACGCUGGCUCUCAGGCUCAGCCAUGUGAACCUCAGACCUCUACCUCCCACUCCACCUCCAGUACCCGCCUUCUACCCAAGCCCCUCUCUCAUUUAAUCCUGCGAUCCAUGCUGCUCCAGCUACAACACCCACGCGACCCAGCCUGCUGCCAGCCUCGGGGCCUUCCUAACGUGUCUUCUUCCUCUUGUUCUUUUUUUUUUUUUUUUAACACAGCAAGCCAUCGUCUUGUUCAGUAUGUAUAUCCUGUCUCCAGCUAUGAGACCGAGUCUGGGAUUUGUCCAUUUGGGUGAUUCAUGGAUAACAAGCCUGAGGCCUGAGGCCAAUCUGAAUUACCCCAACACUGCUCGGGUAUGGUGGGCCCUAGCAGCUGAGACCCUGUCUAGCUGGAGUGAUCUAACCAUGCCCCGCUGUGGUGGUGCUGUCCCUGUUGGCCUGGAGUCAGUCAGACUCAUCCGGAAACAUCUACUACCCAAUCCUGAAUGACUCUGAGCAGUUACCAAGUCUUGACCAACCCACCUCGGUUUACUUAUCUAGAAAAUGGCACCUUCCCCUUAAGUGGGGGAGGAGUCAAGGAGCCAUUCCCUUGGAUGUCACCUACAUACAGUCAGUGGGCAAGGACUUUUCUCACCACCUUUCCUAAGGGACAUGGCAUCGCUGUGAUGAUGCUUUGAGUGGCACUGGGUAGAAUCACCAGGUCAGUGGGCGGGGAUAAGCUACUCUAAAGGGUCAACUAUCAGCUUAGGAGAUGGGCCUCUGGUCAUGCCCAUGGGGGAUUAUCAGGUUAAUUCAUGUAGGAAAACCGACCACUAUGGGCAGCACCAUUCCCUAAGUGGAGUCCUGGAGCGUGUGCUAAGUAGCGGCAGCAUGCAUUGCUGACUGCUAAUGUAACACGACCAGCUCUUGCAGCUCCCGCCCCCCUCACAGCCCCACUUUGCCGUCACAAGGGACUGACCCUUGAACUUCGAGCUAACAUAAGCACUUCCUUCCUUAAGAUGCUUUUGUCAGGGUAUUUUAUCACAAAAAAGAAAUGAAGGUGGUGACAACCGAGAUAGGUGACUGAGCCAUGGAGACAGCUUGGCCAAUUCAGGAGACCCCAGGGUACAAAACCCUGCUGUUUCCAGGAAGUCUGUUCCUCAUGACAUAACCCUGAGUUUCCCACAGUACACAGGAUUUGCUUCCGGUUUACGUCACGAUGUACACACUUCAGACUGGAUGUGGCUGUGGAAUACAUUGAUGGGACAGACAGAGAGGGAUCACUGUAAAGACAGCAGGGCUAAGACAUGGGCUUCUCCUCCCUGUGCACAGCAGAACUAGCCAGGAAAAUGGAAGGGGUUCUCCCAGCCUGAAUCAGCCUCUAAACUCAACUUGGGUCCCCAAAGAGAACAGGAAGUUGGAGUAGGGCCAGGUUCCACGUUCGGACAAGCCCAUCCUUGGAGAUUUCACGGACUAAGAGAGUUGAUGUCCACAGGCACCCAUGUAAGAAAAGACAUCUAUCUCUCCGGGGCCCCAUUAGCCCUUCGAUGAUAGGCCUUCUCUUCUGACGGUCAUGAAGAGGGCAGGGUUCGCCUUGGAUCCCCUUGCAGAAUCCUAUGGAGUCAGUGUGUGUGUGUGUGUGUGUGUGUGUGUGUGUGUGUGUGUGUGUGUGUGUGUUUACCACCUCAGGAAGCCUGAGCCUCUAAUCAGCAUCAUUGACUAAUCAAUGCCUUCAUUUUUCGCCUGUAAGCGGCCAGGGAAGACAGUCAUUAAAUACUCUUGUAGUAAUUCAACAAAUCACCGCCUUUUACAGCGUCUGAGGGAGGCAACUCAAGGCGUGCACCCAGGCACUCCGCUUGCUCGCUCCUUACAGAUGUCUCCAGCUGCCUAACAGAUCACCACAGCCGCUGGGAGGGGCACCAGUGUGCAGCAAGGCGGUGCGGGAAGCAGGGCAGCAGACCUCAUGCGCCAGGAGGGU